GGAAGCGAUCAUAGCAGCACUAAAGCACCGGAUCCCAUCAGAACUCCGAAGUUAAGCGUGCUUGGGUGAGAGUAGUACUAGGAUGGGUGACCUCCUGGGAAGUCCUCGUGUUGAAUUCC
rnacentral:rRNA from 1 species